rnacentral:rRNA from 1 species
CCGGCGAUGUCCGAAUGGGGAAACCCAGUGUGAUUCGUCACACUAUCGUUAACUGAAUACAUAGGUUAACGAGGCGAACCGGGGGAACUGAAACAUCUAAGUACCCCGAGGAAAAGAAAUCAACCGAGAUUCCCCCAGUAGCGGCGAGCGAACGGGGAGCAGCCCAGAGUCUGAAUCAGCUUGUGUGUUAGUGGAACGGUCUGGAAAGUCCGACGGUACAGGGUGAUAGUCCCGUACACCAAAAUGCACAGGUUGUGAACUCGAAGAGUAGGGCGGGACACGUGGUAUCCUGUCUGAAUAUGGGGGGACCAUCCUCCAAGGCUAAAUACUCCUGACUGACCGAUAGUGAACCAGUACCGUGAGGGAAAGGCGAAAAGAACCCCGGCGAGGGGAGUGAAAAAGAACCUGAAACCGUGUACGUACAAGCAGUGGGAGCACCUUCGGGUGUGACUGCGUACCUUUUGUAUAAUGGGUCAGCGACUUAUAUUCUGUAGCAAGGUUAACCGUAUAGGGGAGCCGCAGGGAAACCGAGUCUUAACUGGGCGUUAAGUUGCAGGGUAUAGACCCGAAACCCGGUGAUCUAGCCAUGGGCAGGUUGAAGGUUGGGUAACACUAACUGGAGGACCGAACCGACUAAUGUUGAAAAAUUAGCGGAUGACUUGUGGCUGGGGGUGAAAGGCCAAUCAAACCGGGAGAUAGCUGGUUCUCCCCGAAAGCUAUUUAGGUAGCGCCUCGUGAAUUCAUCUUCGGGGGUAGAGCACUGUUUCGGCUAGGGGGUCAUCCCGACUUACCAACCCGAUGCAAACUACGAAUACCGAAGAAUGUUAUCACGGGAGACACACGGCGGGUGCUAACGUCCGUCGUGAAGAGGGAAACAACCCAGACCGCCAGCUAAGGUCCCAAAGUCAUGGUUAAGUGGGAAACGAUGUGGGAAGGCACAGACAGCCAGGAUGUUGGCUUAGAAGCAGCCAUCAUUUAAAGAAAGCGUAAUAGCUCACUGGUCGAGUCGGCCUGCGCGGAAGAUGUAACGGGGCUAAACCAUGCACCGAAGCUGCGGCAGCGACACUAUGUGUUGUUGGGUAGGGGAGCGUUCUGUAAGCCUGCGAAGGUGUGCUGUGAGGCAUGCUGGAGGUAUCAGAAGUGCGAAUGCUGACAUAAGUAACGAUAAAGCGGGUGAAAAGCCCGCUCGCCGGAAGACCAAGGGUUCCUGUCCAACGUUAAUCGGGGCAGGGUGAGUCGACCCCUAAGGCGAGGCCGAAAGGCGUAGUCGAUGGGAAACAGGUUAAUAUUCCUGUACUUGGUGUUACUGCGAAGGGGGGACGGAGAAGGCUAUGUUAGCCGGGCGACGGUUGUCCCGGUUUAAGCAUGUAGGCUGGUUAUCCAGGCAAAUCCGGAUAAUCAAGGCUGAGGUGUGAUGACGAGGCACUACGGUGCUGAAGUAACAAAUGCCCUGCUUCCAGGAAAAGCCUCUAAGCAUCAGGUAACAUCAAAUCGUACCCCAAACCGACACAGGUGGUCAGGUAGAGAAUACCAAGGCGCUUGAGAGAACUCGGGUGAAGGAACUAGGCAAAAUGGUGCCGUAACUUCGGGAGAAGGCACGCUGGUGUGUAGGUGAAGUCCCUGCGGAUGGAGCUGAGACCAGUCGAAGAUACCAGCUGGCUGCAACUGUUUAUUAAAAACACAGCACUGUGCAAACACGAAAGUGGACGUAUACGGUGUGACGCCUGCCCGGUGCCGGAAGGUUAAUUGAUGGGGUUAUCCGUAAGGAGAAGCUCUUGAUCGAAGCCCCGGUAAACGGCGGCCGUAACUAUAACGGUCCUAAGGUAGCGAAAUUCCUUGUCGGGUAAGUUCCGACCUGCACGAAUGGCGUAAUGAUGGCCAGGCUGUCUCCACCCGAGACUCAGUGAAAUUGAACUCGCUGUGAAGAUGCAGUGUACCCGCGGCAAGACGGAAAGACCCCGUGAACCUUUACUAUAGCUUGACACUGAACAUUGAGCCUUGAUGUGUAGGAUAGGUGGGAGGCUUUGAAGCGUGGACGCCAGUCUGCGUGGAGCCAACCUUGAAAUACCACCCUUUAAUGUUUGAUGUUCUAACGUUGGCCCCUUACCGGGGUUGCGGACAGUGUCUGGUGGGUAGUUUGACUGGGGCGGUCUCCUCCCAAAGCGUAACGGAGGAGCACGAAGGUUAGCUAAUCCUGGUCGGACAUCAGGAGGUUAGUGCAAUGGCAUAAGCUAGCUUGACUGCGAGCGUGACGGCGCGAGCAGGUGCGAAAGCAGGUCAUAGUGAUCCGGUGGUUCUGAAUGGAAGGGCCAUCGCUCAACGGAUAAAAGGUACUCCGGGGAUAACAGGCUGAUACCGCCCAAGAGUUCAUAUCGACGGCGGUGUUUGGCACCUCGAUGUCGGCUCAUCACAUCCUGGGGCUGAAGUAGGUCCCAAGGGUAUGGCUGUUCGCCAUUUAAAGUGGUACGCGAGCUGGGUUUAGAACGUCGUGAGACAGUUCGGUCCCUAUCUGCCGUGGGCGCUGGAGAAUUGAGGGGGGCUGCUCCUAGUACGAGAGGACCGGAGUGGACGCAUCACUGGUGUUCGGGUUGUCAUGCCAAUGGCACUGCCCGGUAGCUAAAUGCGGAAGAGAUAAGUGCUGAAAGCAUCUAAGCACGAAACUUGCCCCGAGAUGAGUUCUCCCUGAGACUUUAAGUCUCCUGAAGGAACGUUGAAGACGACGACGUUGAUAGGCCGGGUGUGUAAGCGCAGCGAUGCGUUGAGCUAACCGGUACUAAUGAACCGUGAGGCUUAACCUU